AGCAGCAGCCGCGGUAAUACGGAGGGAGCUAGCGUUGUUCGGAAUUACUGGGCGUAAAGCGCGCGUAGGCGGUUACUCAAGUCAGAGGUGAAAGCCCGGGGCUCAACCCCGGAACUGCCUUUGAAACUAGGUGACUAGAAUCUUGGAGAGGUCAGUGGAAUUCCGAGUGUAGAGGUGAAAUUUGUAGAUAUUCGGAAGAACACCAGUGGCGAAGGCGACUGACUGGACAAGUAUUGACGCUGAGGUGCGAAAGCGUGGGGAGCAAACAGGAUUAGAUACCCGAGUAGUCCCUGUCUCUUAUAC
rnacentral:rRNA from 1 species